rnacentral:lncRNA from 1 species
CUUGGUCCAAGCCCCGCCUUAAUCCCACACAAGCCCCGCCCCUCUUUGUGCAUCAAGCCACGCCCCUUAUACACAAAGCCACGCCCACUCCCUCCUCAAGCCCCGCCCCUCCACUCAAGCCACGCCCACUUCCACCUUAAACCACGCCCAAUCCCACCCCAAAGCCCCGCCCCUUCUACCCAAGCCCCGCCCCUUCCCGUUUAAGCCCCGCCCCCUCGCUCACGCCACUCAUCCUCGUUGUCCUGGUUACGCCUCAGUACCGGCAGCCGACAUCCCUCCGACACCUCGGCCUACACCGGAACACAUCACACCCCACCCCUCAGUUAUAAACAACCGGUUCCGGUCCCUCCCCAGCCCCUAAAUAAACCUUAAACCCACCCAAAAACCUUCCGGUACCGCGUUGGGAUCCCCGUGGCCUUCACUCACCGCCUCCGCCAUCUUCUCACCGGUCUCUUCCGGGUGUAGCGCGUCACUUCCGGUCUGCGAGCCGAGCACUUCCGCUUCAAGCUCCGCCCACUUCCUGUCUCACUCAAAACAGGAAGUGGGUGGUUUUACCCACUCAACUUCCGGUCGCGCAUGCGCACAUCGCCACGCAGGGCGUAGGCCUAUAAACAGCUGUGUACCGGAAGAGGCGUGGCCUUCCCGGAAGCCUCGCUCACGUGACGGCGGCGGCACUUCCGGGUACGGCGGCGGUGGCGGAGGAGGAGGGCGGGAAUCGACCCGCUGCCCCCGGGACACGACGGCUCCAUCAUGGAGCGCGGAGAUUUGCGGCCCCUCUUUGUACAGCCGGAAUGGGGCCGAGCAGGUGAGUCCUAUAGGGGGGGUCCUAUGGGAUGGGGGGGUCCUAUGGGGUUGGGGGGUUAUAUGGUUUGGGGGGGAGGUCCUAUGGGCGUGGGGGGUUAUGAUGGGAUGGGGGGGUUAAUAAAGGGGUUGGAUGGAUCCUAUGGGAUGGGGGGGGUUAUAUGGGGUUGGGGGGGUUUCUAAAGAGAUGGGGGGGCUUCUGAUGGGGUUGAUGGGGGUCCUAUGGAGUGGGGGUACUAAAGGGAUGGGGGGGGUCCUAUGGAUGAGGUGAGGGUUAUAUGGGGUUGGGGGGGUCCUAUGGGAUGGGGAGGGUUUCUAUGGGGUUAUGGGGGGUUAUUAUGGGGUUGGGGGCUCAU